CAACAAAAAGGAACAUUUUCUGCAAAUACUCAAGAUAAUCUAAAAGAGCAUUGUAAGUCCAUUAUAACUCGUAGUGGUAGAGAAAUUGGAAAAGGCAUUGGUGAUGAUGUUGAGAUGAGGAAGUUGUGCUAGAAAUAAAAGAUGAAAAAGAUGACGUUGAAUUAGAAAAAAAUAAAGAGGAAGAAUUAGUUGAAAAUGAGAAAC
rnacentral:lncRNA from 1 species